rnacentral:rRNA from 1 species
GAUCAUGGUUCAGGAUGAACGCUGGCGGCGUGCAUAACACAUUCAAGUCGAACGAGGCAGCAAUGCCUAGUGGCGGACGGGUGAGUAACGCGUGAGCAACCUGCCCUUGCGUGGGGGGUACCAUCUGGAAACGGAUGUUAAUACCGCAUAAAGUACAAGCGACCGCAUGGUCGUAGUACCAAAGAUUUAUUGCGCAAGGAUGGGCUCGCGUCCCAUUAGAUAGUUGGUGAGGUGACGG